UACGUAGGGUGCGAGCGUUGUCCGGAAUUACUGGGCGUAAAGAGCUCGUAGGUGGUUUGUCGCGUUGUUCGUGAAAACUCACAGCUCAACUGUGGGCGUGCGGGCGAUACGGGCAGACUGGAGUACUGCAGGGGAGACUGGAAUUCCCGGUGUAGCGGUGAAAUGCGUAGAUAUCGGAAGGAACAUCAGUGGCGAAAGCGGCUUCCUGGACCAGAACUGACGAUCAGGCUCGAAAGCGUGGGGAGCAAACAGG
rnacentral:rRNA from 1 species